CAUAGAGUCGGGUAAAGUCUACCUAGCAUCACUCAGACGCACAGAUUCAUAAUGAAUGAUUAACAUCACAAAAACCUCCCUGCACUUCCACUCUGUAGAAUAAAGGAGGCAGAUUUCAUCUUCCAGUUGGAUCUGUUCUCUUUUGUGUCUUCCAUUGGAGGUCUCCAUCAGGGGCUGAGAGUGGCUGCUGUCUUUGUGAGCGUGUAGUGUGGAAGCCCUCCGGUGAGAGGAGAAGGGAGGAGAGGAGAGGAGAGAGGCCAAUUUUCACACCCUGAGAUGCUCUGCAGGCUUGAGGAAGAAGAGGAGAUGUCUCUACUGGAGCUGCAGCAGAGGGUGGACUGUGUCAUCACCCAUGUUGAUGAGAUUAUGCAGCAGGAGAUCAGACCAUUGCUUGCUGUUGAUAUAAUUGAACAACUUCAUAGGCAGUUUGCUCUUCUUUCAGGAGGAAGAGGAAGUGAUGGAGCGCCCAUCAUUACAUUCCCAGAGUUCUCAGGCUUUAAUGAGGUGUCAGAUGAAGAUUUUGUUAAUGUUGUUACAUAUCUGACCAGCAUACCAAGUAUGGAUGCUGCCAGCAUCGGCUUUAUCAUCAUCCUGGACCGCAGGAAGGAAAAAUGGAACUCAGCAUUCACUUCUCUAGCUCGAAUAGCGGGGUCCUUCCCAGGAAAUCUACAACUUGUGCUGGUUCUUAAACCUUCACGUCUCCUUCAGAGGACCAUUGCUGAUGUCAGUAUGCGGUUACAUCGGGACGACUUUAAAUUGAAGGUACCGAUCGUUAUGCUAAAUUCCCUGUCAGACUUGCAUGGCUACAUCGAUAAAGGCCAGCUAACCUGCGAUCUGGGCGGAACCCUGGACUAUUGCCACAGUCAAUGGAUCCAUCAUCGUACAGCCAUUGAGAACUUUGCAUUAACAGUGAAGAGCACAGCACAGAUGCUACAACAGUUUGGAACUGACCUGGCAGAAACUGAACUUCCCAAUGAUGUGCAGUGCACCAAAGAUUUGCUCAUCACACACACAGAAAAACACGACAAGCUUAAGGAAGAGUUAAAGUUGGCUGUGAAACAAGGAAAAACUCUGCUGUCUUGUAUAAAAGAUCAGGCCAACAAAACCGAGAACCACAUUCUGAACCCGGAUGAAACAGAGAAUCAAACAACUGUUGAGAGGUUGCUAGCACAGCUUGAUGAGACAGAGAAUGCAUUUGAACAGUUCUGGUCAAGGCAUCACCUCAAGUUAGAGCAGUGCCUACAGUUACGCCACUUUGAGCAGGACUUCAGAGAGGUGAAAGUGUCUCUGGACGGCCUGAUGGAGGCCCUACUGGGGCUUUCUGAUACUGGAGACUGUGUAGGUCGGAUGGAGCACCUACUGGGGGAUCUGAAAACCCUGGAGGACAACACUCAGGAGUCCUUGGAGAAAGCUCAGCUUCAUGCCCAGCAUGGCGACCAACUGAUUCAGAGUAAUCACUACGCCGUGGACUCCAUCCGCCCCAAGUGUGUCGAACUGCGUCGGAUCUGUGAUAACUUCAGCAAUGAGGCCAAAAAGAAACGGGACAUUCUGACUAAAUCGCUUGAUAUCCAUAAGCGAAUAGAUGAGGUAAGCCAGUGGUGUGAAUCUGGAGUAUAUCUACUGGCCUCUCAGGCUGUUGACAGAUGCCAGACCCAGGAAGGCGCAGAAGCAGCACUACAGGACAUCCAGAAGUACAUGGAAUCAGCCAAAGAGCAGCAACUGUGUCACCUUAAAGACCUCAGCAACCAGUAUGAUAUUGUGCUCUCAGACCUGGUCAAGAGCAAAGUUCAGCAGGCUCUGAAAAGGCUGAAUGACGUUCAAGAGAUGUUUGAGAAAAGACAUGCAAGUCUGAAAAAGCUCUCUGCUAAGCAAACCAGGCCAGUGCAACCUGUUGCACCUCGACCAGAGUCUUCACCAAAGCGGCCCUCAGCUAAAACACCACAAUCCACCACCCCAGCAUCAAAUCGCAAAGGUACAGAUAACUUCAGCACCAAUAAGCCGCCCAGUGAAGCAGAACUAGCAAAGCGAAAAAAUAUUCGGAAAGCCAAAGGUGGCAUCAAGAUUGAAGUCAUGCAUGAAGGAGGUCAAGGGGGCUCAAGUCAUGUUCUCAUGUAUAAUGAAACGGAGGAGACCCUUUCAAACAGACGGAGUCACAUAAUGAAUGAGUUGAUUGAGACGGAGAGGCUGUAUGUGGAAGAGCUACAGAGUAUCAUAGAGGGUUAUGCUGCAGCACUGGAUGAUCCUGAAUUGAUCUAUUUGAUCCCACCAUCUCUGAAAAACAAGAAGGACAUUCUUUUUGGCAAUCUGCCUGAAAUCUACAGGUUUCACCAGAAAACAUUUCUCAAAGAGCUGGAAAACUGUGCAGAAAAGCCAGAGUUGGUGGGGAUGUGUUUUUUAAAGCGGAAAGAAGAGUUGCAGAUCUAUGAGAGAUAUUGUCAGAAUAAGCCACGCUCUGAGGCGCUGUGGCGGCAAUGUGGGGACAGCUUGUUCUUUCAGGAAUGCCAGAAAAGGCUGGAUCACAAGCUUUCGUUAGAUGCAUACCUGUUAAAGCCUGUGCAGAGAAUCACCAAAUACCAGCUGAUGUUAAAGGAGAUGCUGAAAUGCAGUAAGAACUCAGAAGGCACAGCCGAGUUGGAGGAAGCUUUGGCCACCAUGCUGGACAUCAUCAAAUCAGUCAAUGACUCCAUGCAUCAGAUCGCUAUCACAGGCUUUGAGGGCAAUAUUAAUGAUUUGGGCAAGCUGCUCAUGCAGGGAUCCUUCAAUAUUUGGACAGACCAUAAGAAGGGUCACAGUAAAGUGAAGGACUUGGCCCGCUUUAAACCCAUGCAGAGGCACCUAUUUCUCUACAACAAAAUGAUUUUGUUCUGCAAGAAACGCGAGGAGACAUCUGAUGGUCAUGAGAAAUCCCCCUCCUACAGCUUCAAGCACUCAUUAAAGAUGAGCUCGGUGGGAAUCACAGAAAAUGUAAAGGGAGACAUCAAGAAGUUUGAAAUCUGGUACAAUGGCAGAGAGGAAGUAUACAUCAUCCAGGCCCCCUCUAUGGAUGUGAAGAACACGUGGGUGUCAGAGAUCCGUAAAGUCUUAACGAGCCAGCUAGAGGCCUUCCGAGAAGCCAGUCAGCUUCAUCAGAAGAUUACAGAAAACAUUUACCAUGCUCCCAUGAGAAAUAUGCGCAAAACAGCUCUUCGGCAGUCUGACUCUUCCAGUCCCGAAACGGGAUACAGGCAGGCAGACACAGGCCCAAAUCUGCGGCAGAAACGAGCUGACGCUUCAGCCAGCCUUGGCUCAGAGCGCUCUGCUCUUUCUAGAAAGCGCUUCACCUUACAGGGCCUGUCAAACCGCAGGUCUCUCCCCGCAGAAUCUACGCCAAAGGAGACAGAUAUCACACGGCGCUUUUCUUUAGCUUCAUCUGUCAGCUCGGCCUCUGCUCAGCGCACUAAAGUUCCUGUCUCCUCUAGCCUUAAGAGCAAGAGGCAUCAAAUCAAGAGUGACCCCACACCAUUUGGUUAUGAAGACACUAUGCGAGGUACACUGCCUGCUGAGAGCAAAAGUAAAGGUACUGCUGGUACCAAGCCUGCUGUGCCGAGGUCCGCUUCUCAACCAGGAUGGAGUCAACGGCGUUUGCCCUCAAUGGACGCUGAGGACUUUGAGACAAUUCCAUCCAGUGCUGAGGAGCUCUCAGUUUCCUCAGAUGGAGAUGAUGAAUGCCAUAACAAAAAUGGGGGACAUGAUCGCUAUCAGGUACAGCAGAUGUAUAAGUCAGGUACCACUCAGGAUCUGUCUGUGGAGGCUGGCGAUUUGGUGCAAUUCCUGGAAGAAUCAGAGAAUGGCCAUUGGCUAGUCAAGAACCUUAGAACUCAGAAGACAGGUCUGGUUCCACCCACUGUCCUGCAAUCCACAGCGGAGGGAGUAGACCUUUACAGUAACUCUGGUACAACACACCAAUCCCAAGAAGAGUAGCAGAAGGGCAUGACUGACAUCAUCAUGACCAUAUGGAGCCCAGUCCAAACUGAUGACAUUUUCAGUGACAUCUGCACGGCCGCCCUCACCGAUACAGAGGAGGUAGAAGACAGCGCUGGGCCAGAUCCCGCUCAAGACAGCAGAUCUGCAUGCUGAACAUGUCGUGAUGUGUCUUUGUUUUCCUUUGUACCAUGCUUAUAUACAUUGAUAUCCCUGAUACUCUGAUGCUAUAUAGAAAUCUACUCCAGUGGAAGACUGGACAUCUGCUGCUAUAUGACCACUCUGAAGACCCACCAGGACAGAUUCCAGACAUUUCUGGCAUUGUGCACAAAGUCCUUUUCCAGUGCUGACUUGACAUUGACAACAUUCUGCAGUCAUGAGUCAUAAAUUCAGCAUGCAGCAUUUGUGCUUUCAAUCUGCUAUGCCUUAGCAGCCAAUGCAGAGGUAUUUUUAAAAGAAAAGUUGCUUGCAAAAAAAAAAAAAAAUCUUUUGUCAGAAUACACAGUGUCUUUUGAAUGUCUGUCAAAGACAAAAGUUGCUUUUUGGGUCUAACUGGACCAGCCAAACCCUUGGCUCAAACACAGAGGUGGCCAUAUUAAAGACAAUAAGACUCUACACUUUUCUGUCCUGCUUAAACUUCUAUUGAAAUGCUUAAACAUACUUGAUUGUUUUGCUUGUUUGCUUAUGAGACUGUUCAUCAGAAACACAGCACUUUUAAAGAACAAAUAUUCUCUAUUGUAAUGUACAAUAUUUAUACUGUCACUGUCUUUUAUAUUACAACAUGAAAGUUAUAUAAGCCGUCUGUAAAGCUUUGUCCCUCUUUGCAAUUUGUAAAGCUGAAUAUCGUUAAUCUUCAUCCAAUAUCGCUACUUGAUAUAUUCAUCUCUUUCAUGGUCUAGUUGUAUAUAAAUAAUCUCAGAACGCUCCAUGGUUCUUUCUCAUGUUGAAGAAAAAGUGAAGUAAUUACUCUGCAGAUGAUUUUUUUAUAUAUUUCAGAACAUAUGAUCAUUGUAGCAGAAUUAUUCCCUGUACUGUAAAGGCAUCCAAUUUUUUUUUACAAUAUCGCUCCUGAAUGUUGUCAUUUGCUGUUUGUGCAAGUAAAUUUGACUUUCAUUCAAGUAACAGAAUUCAAUACAGAAAUCAAAUGUACUGUAUCCUUCCUCCUAUAUGAAAUGAAAAACUGCACAACAGUUCGACAGUGAAUGUAUUAAUGAUGCCAAAUGUUUGGUUUCAUAGUAGUACUAAAUAUCCACUUAUACCACAACAACUUAAAGAUAAUUGGUCAGGCUGUAUUUCAAUAACUUUAAAUACCUAUAUCAACCUGAUGUCAUUGUUUGAUGAGUUUCUAUAUUUGUUUUUUUAAUGUCAAUUUCUAAGCACAAUUAUUUAAUGUUGAAUGCCAAUGUUAUUAUUGCUAAUAUGUGUAAAAUGACUUUCUGUUAAUACAGAUGUGCAUAUUUUGCUUU